rnacentral:rRNA from 1 species
GACGAACGCUGGCGGCGUGCUUAACACAUGCAAGUCGAGCGGAGCGGCGAACGGGUGAGUAACGCGUGAGUAACUGCCCCCCUCUCUGGGAUAACAGUUGGAAACGGCUGCUAAUACCGGAUAGUGGGGGAUGACUCGCGUCCUAUCAGCUUGUGGGUGGGGGAGUGGCCUACCAAGGCGACGACGGGUGGCCGGCCUGGGAGGGAGACCGGCCACCUGAGGCUGAGAUACGGCCCAAACGCCUACGGGAGGCAGCAGUGGAGAAUCUUGCAGAAUGGGGGAAACCCUGAUGAAGCGGCGCGCGUGCGGGAUGACGGCCUUCGGGUUGUAAACCGCUAUCAGCCAUGACGCGGUAGUGGCAGAAGAAGCCCCGGCUAACUACGUGCCAGCAGCCGCGGUAAUUC